CCUACGGGAGGCAGCAGUGGGGAAUAUUGGACAAUGGGCGCAAGCCUGAUCCAGCCAUGCCGCGUGUGUGAAGAAGGUCUUCGGAUUGUAAAGCACUUUAAGUUGGGAGGAAGGGCAGUAAGUUAAUACCUUGCUGUUUUGACGUUACCGACAGAAUAAGCACCGGCUAACUCUGUGCCAGCAGCCGCGGUAAUA
rnacentral:rRNA from 1 species